rnacentral:SRP_RNA from 1 species
GCUGGGCGUGGUGGUGGGUGCCUGUAAUCCCAGCUACUCGGGAGGCUGAGGCAGGAGAAUUGCUUGAACCCAGGAGGCGGAGGUUGCAGUGAGCUGAGAUCGUGCCACUGCACUCCAGCCUGGGCGACAGAGCAAGACUCUGCCUCUC